rnacentral:tRNA from 1 species
GGGCCGUUGGAGCAAGGUGGCAGCUCACCCGGUUCUCAGCCGGGAGGUUACGGGUUCGAACCCCGUACGGCCUA